UACGUAGGGCGCAAGCGUUGUCCGGAAUUAUUGGGCGUAAAGAGCUCGUAGGCGGUUUGUCGCGUCUGCUGUGAAAACCUAAGGCUCAACCUUGGGCUUGCAGUGGGUACGGGCAGACUAGAGUGCGGUAGGGGUGACUGGAAUUCCUGGUGUAGCGGUGGAAUGCGCAGAUAUCAGGAGGAACACCGAUGGCGAAGGCAGGUCACUGGGCCGCAACUGAACGCU
rnacentral:rRNA from 1 species